rnacentral:rRNA from 1 species
CACGUAGGAGGCGAGCGUUGUCCGGAAUCAUUGGGCGUAAAGAGCGCGCAGGCGGCUUGGCAAGUCGGGUGUGAAAUCCCGGGGCUCAACCCCGUGACUGCAUCCGAUACUGUCAGGCUGAGAGGUAGGUAGGGGGAGAUCGGAAUUCCUGGUGUAGCGGUGAAAUGCGCAGAGUAUCAGGAGGAACACCGGUGGCGAAGGCGGAUCUCGUGGGCCUUACCUGGACGCUCGAGGCGCGAAAGCUAGGGGAGCGAACAGGA